rnacentral:rRNA from 1 species
AGGACGAACGCUGGCGGCGUGCUUAACACAUGCAAGUCGAGCGGAAAGGCCCUUCGGGGUACUCGAGCGGCGAACGGGUGAGUAACACGUGAGCAACCUGCCCUUAACUCCGGGAUAGCUCCGGGAAACCGGAAUUAAUACCGGAUACGACCACGGCCGACAUCUGCUGUGGUGGAAAGGAUUCCGGCUAAGGAUGGGCUCGCGGCCUAUCAGCUAGUUGGUGGAGUAACGGCCCACCAAGGCGACGACGGGUA